UACGAAGGGGGGCUAGCGUUGCUCGGAAUUACUGGGCGUAAAGCGCACGUAGGCGGCUUGGUAUGUCGGGUGUGAAAUCCCCGGGCUCAACCUGGGAACUGCAUCCGAAACUGCCUUGCUCGAGUAUGGGAGAGGGAAGUGGAAUUUCCGGUGUAGCGGUGAAAUGCGUAGAUAUCGGAAGGAACAUCAGUGGCGAAGGCGACUUCCUGGACCAAUACUGACGCUCAGGUGCGAAAGCGUGGGGAGCAAACAGGG
rnacentral:rRNA from 1 species